UACGGAGGGUCCAAGCGUUAUCCGGAAUCAUUGGGUUUAAAGGGUCCGUAGGCGGUUUUGUAAGUCAGUGGUGAAAGCCCAUCGCUCAACGGUGGAACGGCCAUUGAUACUGCAAGACUUGAAUUAUUGGGAAGCAACUAGAAUAGGUAGUGUAGCGGUGAAAUGCUUAGAGAUUACAUGGAAUACCAAUUGCGAAGGCAGGUUGCUACCAAUACAAUGACGCUGAUGGACGAAAGCGUGGGGAGCAAACAGG
rnacentral:rRNA from 1 species